rnacentral:rRNA from 1 species
GACGUAGGGCGCGAGCGUUGUCCGGAUUUAUUGGGCGUAAAGAGCUCGUAGGCGGCUCGUUGCGUCAACCGUGAAAACCCGGGGCUUAACUUCGGGCUUGCGGUUGAUACGGGCGGGCUGGAGUUCGGUAGGGGAGACUGGAAUUCCUGGUGUAGCGGUGAAAUGCGUAGAGAUCCGGAGGAACACCAAAGGCGAAGGCAGUGUCCUGGGGAGUACCUGACGCUCAGGUGCGAAAGCCAGGGGAGCGAACGGG